CGAGGCAGGUGGAUUACCUGAGGCCAGGAGUUUAAGACCAGCCUGGCCAAUAUGGUAAAACACUGUCUCUACUAAAAAUACAAAAAUUAGACACACGUGCUGGUGGGAAGUCCCAGCUACUUGGGAGGCUGAGGCAAGAGAAUCGCUUGAACCCAGGAGACAAUGAAGAAAGAACAUGAAAAGAAUAAAGCUUGGUUUCAUGUGCUCAAGAGUUCACAGCUAGUUAAGACAGGAAAAGUCUCAUAUAUGAAGACUCAGAGAACAAGUGGAGAACAGACCAUCAGUGCAAAAAAUCUGCAGAAGAGGUGGAGCAAUCAAAACCUGGCAAUUUGCCAUGUCAACCCCCAUUCCACAGCCACGUGUCUGAAGAACAUAUGCUUUCAGAAUGGCGUUUAUGAUCUCAAUGCCAUCUUGCUGCAAGCCUUCCAGCUAGGAUGUUCCCUGUAGUUGAAAUAAACGGAAAGGAAGUUUCUGAGUUGAAGUAAACCGAAAGGAAGGAGGGUCACAGCCCCGCGGCACAGUUCCCAGGAUGACUGCUGUGCCACUCACAAAAUGAGCCUUUUGACUGACUCCAGCAGCAGGACGGGACUGUCGUUUCACGAGGUGAGCUACGGGCAGACAGAUGUAUCCGAAUCGCAUUAAUUGGAACAUCUUGUCACAGGAUAAGAGAAUUUCCAUUUCUCUGCGGAUGCCUGU
ensembl:lncRNA novel transcript, antisense to SMYD3